AUGAAAACGCCCCCUUGGAGGGCAAAAAGACGUUAAUUUCCGCUGCCUGCCAACAAAUAUGCUGGAUGGUUGUUGUGCUUUGGGAUUUACUAAUCGAGGAGACGAGCCUGGGCUGUGUGAGCUGUUUGAUGGAGUGCUGCAGGGUCAGGAUGUGGUUGAACAGCGGAUUCUGCAGAGUCUCCCUCAGGUUUCCCAUCGUCUCACUGUGGGUCCACUCCUCCCUCUGGGCCAGUUUGGCCUGCAGACGCUCCAGAGCUCCCAGAACCUGCUGACGCUCCGCUGUGGACACUGAGGACGAGCACAGGACGUAGAGUCGUCAGUCUGAACCUGAUAAUAUCUGCAAAUGUUGAAUGAACAGCUGAGAGGAUUUACCUGCCGGGACAUUUUCAAACAUCGUCGUCCCUCGCUCUCCGUCUGACGUUCUCGAUCACUGAUCUGAACAGACAGAACAUUAUUUGGUUAAAACUAUGAAACUCUGAUAUUAAGGUUAAUAAAAAACCUAUAUAACAUCA